AUGCCGAUGAUUCACAUCAGAGUUUGCCGGAGGCUUCGGUCCUGCAGCAUCAAAGAAGGGAUGAGGAAUGAGUAUAUCUGCAGUCAAGACAGGUUAGGAGCAGAGUGGGGAACUGCUGAAAGGCGGGCAGGAAUCGGCCCAAAUCAGAAGCGCAUAUCACACCCUGAUAAUAUGGAGAUUGGAUUCGCCAUCUCGGCGCGACGACCCAGGUCCGGCUGCCAGAUCCAGAAGCACAAAGUGCGGCCUGGGCCGCCGGCGCAGUCCGACGAGCAAGCCCGGGCGGCCAGGGAGAGAGAGAGAGAGAGAGAGAGAGAGAGAGAGAGAGAGAGAGAGAGAGAGGGAGGCCUCCGGACAGAGCGCGGAAUCAAAGCAGGACGAAGAAGAGGAUCUAAGGAAGAGCGUGUGCGCACCUGCCUGUCGGUCGCAGUGGAGGUCGCUGGCGGGAGGAGGAGGAGGAGGAGGAGACCUUGA
rnacentral:rRNA from 1 species